GACGAACGCUGGCGGCGUGCUUAACACAUGCAAGUCGAACGGAAAGGCCCUGCUUUUGUGGGGUGCUCGAGUGGCGAACGGGUGAGUAACACGUGAGUAACCUGCCCUUGACUUUGGGAUAACUUCAGGAAACUGGGGCUAAUACCGGAUAGGAGCUCCUGCUGCAUGGUGGGGGUUGGAAAGUUUCGGCGGUUGGGGAUGGACUCGCGGCUUAUCAGCUUGUUGGUGGGGUAGUGGCUUACCAAGGCUUUGACGGGUAGCCGGCCUGAGAGGGUGACCGGCCACAUUGGGACUGAGAUACGGACCAGACUCCUACGGGAGGCAGCAGGGGGGAAUAUUGCACAAUGGGCGGAAGCCUGAUGCAGCAACGCCGCGUGCGGGAUGACGGCCUUCGGGUUGUAAACCGCUUUCGCCUGUGACGAAGCGUGAGUGACGGUAAUGUGUAAAGAAGCACCGGCUAACUACGUG
rnacentral:rRNA from 1 species